AAUAUGUUACAAUGGGUGAGAGCCUGAUCCAGCCAUCCCGCGUGCAGGAAGAAUGCCUUAUGUGUUGUAAACUGCUUUUAUACAGGCAUAAACCACUUUACGUGUAAGGUGUUGAAGGUACUGUAUGAAUAAGCAUCGUCUAACUCCGCACCAGCAGCCGCGGUAAUACGGAGGAUGCAAGCGUUAUCCGGAUAUAUUUGGUUUAAAGGUUCAGUAGGCGGGCAUAUAAGUCAGAGGUGAAAUCCGACAGCUUAACUGUCGAACUGCCUUUGAAACUGUAUGUCUUGGGUGAGAUUGAAGCAGCUGGAAUGUGUAGUGUAGCGGUGAAAUGCAUAGAUAUUACACAGAACACCGAUAGUGUAGGCAGGUUGCUAAGUCUUUACUGACGCUGAUGGACGAAAGCGUGGGGAGCAAAC
rnacentral:rRNA from 1 species